GAUGAACGCUGGCGGCGUGCCUAAUACAUGCAAGUCGAGCGAACGGACGAGAAGCUUGCUUCUCUGAUUUUAGCGGCGGACGGGUGAGUAACACGUGGAUAACCUACCUAUAAGACUGGGAUAACUUCGGGAAACCGGAGCUAAUACCGGAUAAUAUUUUGAACCGCAUGGUUCAAAAGUGAAAGACGGUCUUUCUUUCACUUAUAGAUGGAUCCGCGCUGCAUUAGCUAGUUGGUAAGGUAACGGCUUACCAAGGCAACGAUGCAUAGCCGACCUGAGAGGGUGAACGGACACCCUGGAACAGAGACACGGCCGAGACUCCUACGGGAGGAAGCAGUAGGGAAUCUUACGCGAGGGGCGAGAGCCUGACGGAGCACCGCCGCGUGAGUGAUGAAGGUCUUCGGAUCGUAAAGCUCUGUUAUUAGGGAAGAACAUAUGUGUAAGUACCUGUGCACAUAUUGACGGUACCUAAUCAGAAAGCCACGGCUAACUCCGUG
rnacentral:rRNA from 1 species